CCCAAGCUUGUGAACAUUUUGCAUCCCAAAGAGUUUUAGCCUUCUUGCCUCUUCCGAUACACCUAAAGUGCAUCCUGAGGCACAUUGCUUCCUUGAAAAAUCUCAGCCAGAUUUGUGAUGUAAAAGGACAAUUAAGGAAUACAUGAUCAACACUCUCUUCCCUGCCUUGCAUAGGAUGCAACAUUGAGGAUUUUGAUGAAGCUGUUGCUUUUGAAUAUUGUUACAAGAAUUUAAUUUCCCAUGAGCCACCCACCAAGUUGUAAAGAAUCAAUCAACCCCUCGUCAAUCUGACAAGACUCCAUCAAGAAGAUUGCUUCAGGUCAUUGGUUCUCAUGGCAAAAAGAGCAAAGCAAAUGAAAGCAAGUGCAAAGCUCACAAAAUGACAAAGUAAAAUGGUGCACUUGUGAUUGUUGUUUUAUUUCAAGUGUGGUUAUAAUUUUCAAUACUUGAAAAUGACAACACAUUUAUUUUCAUUUUAGUGUUUGUAUUUGCAUAUGGUAUGAUGACUCAAUAGAUAUGUUUAACUAUAUUUUUCAUUAAUUAAUGUUAA